CGUCAUAAUACAUAGCUUACAUGUGAGGAGGCGUUUAGAGAGAACAUGCACAAUUUUUUUGGAUUAUAAUGACAGGUGUAGAACCAUGCAAAGAAAACAUAUCUAUGACUAGUGGUAGAGGCUUGUGAACGAAUAAAAGACUUCAAAACAGUAGGUUGUAAGCAAAAUAGAUUGUGAUGAUUAGCGUUUAGCACUUAGCAUGGGCUUGUUUGGCAAGAUACAUUUAUAACCUCAGUUAUAUAACGUGGCUACUCUGUACUAUUCCACCUAAUAAGGAUAAGAAAAGAAAAAUGGUGGUGACACCAGCAAAUUAAAUUAGAAACACAGUGCUCGUUAGGGUGUUAGUGACCAGUGUCUCUGAGUGAAUGCUGCUGAGCUUCAGCCAAUACCUGUAAGUGGCAUAAUUGCUGCACGGCCAGAGAUGACUUCGCUCCAGAGCCGGGUGCCUCUCCAGCCCCAGGUCUGGGUGAGAGCCGGCAUCUGUG